rnacentral:rRNA from 1 species
UUAAAUUGAAGAGUUUGAUCAUGGCUCAGAUUGAACGCUGGCGGCAGGCCUAACACAUGCAAGUCGAACGGUAACAGGAAGCAGCUUGCUGCUUUGCUGACGAGUGGCGGACGGGUGAGUAAUGUCUGGGAAACUGCCUGAUGGAGGGGGAUAACUACUGGAAACGGUGGCUAAUACCGCAUAACGUCGCAAGACCAAAGAGGGGGACCUUCGGGCCUCUUGCCAUCAGAUGUGCCCAGAUGGGAUUAGCUUGUUGGUGAGGUAACGGCUCACCAAGGCGACGAUCCCUCGCUGGUCUGAGAGGAUGACCAGCCACACUGGAACUGAGACACGGUCCAGACUCCUAC